rnacentral:pre_miRNA from 1 species
UGUGGGGUUGCUGGGUUGUAUGGAAAGUUUGUGUUUAACUUUCUGUGAAACUGCCAAACUGUUUCCUAAAGUGGCUGUUCCAUUUUGCAUCCCCAGCAACAAC